GAUCGGGUGUCUUUUCUCUCUCACGCCUCGCACCUCACGCCUCACGCCUCUGCACUCCUCUCUGAUAUUGGAGCACCACCACAAGGGUUACAUGAGCACCACCGCAAGGGUUAGCACCACCAUCGCUUUGUAUCGGGUAGGUAUGUCUUCUAUUUCGCCGUCUCUCUCUCUCCCUCUCCCUCUCAAUGUCUUCUCCCAUUCGCAUAUACCUUCACACUCAGCCCCAAAUCGACCCAACUUGCUCCAGUGGUGCUUGGACUACUCUUUGGAUUUCACCGCUUGUACACCCUUGAACAGUUGGAACGACGCUUCUAGCCGUGCUUGUUCCUGCUCUCUGAGUCACUUAAUUUCUCACAAUUUGGGCUGUCAAUUUGAGCGAUCGAGUGUUUGGAGCUCAAAUCAUGGUGUGAUUUUCAAACUUUUCAGUCUUUUCCAAUGAGUUCUCUUUGAAAAUUUCGGAAUCCGAUGAUCAUUUUCUGGGUUGGUGUUAAAGCAGCAAAGGCCGCUGGAAUAAAGGUAGUGGUUGUUCCCUCACUUCAAAAUGCAGCCAAUCAGUAUUACAUUGCAGAUUAUGUGCUUCAUUCACUUCUAGAAUUCAGGCCCGAGCUAUGGGGUCUUCCACCAUUUGAAGACUGUAUAUAUAUCUUUCGAAUUUAUUUACCUUCUUGAUCUUGACCCCACAUUAUCUGAUUUGAUGCCAUCUAAUUUAAUGAUUUUAGGGGUGGAUAAUGCAUUGCCCAUUGAACCUCUUUAUUCAAAGGUUUAGUAUAGCAAUGGACAUCUGCUUCAAUCUGCAGGUUUUGCUAAUAAAUUUUUUUUAAAGUAAUUUUUCAA